UAAUCGGCCCUUUUAAGGGCCAACAAAUGUAUUCUUCAGAGUUAUUU
rfam:Aedes aegypti strain Liverpool supercont1.281 genomic scaffold, whole genome shotgun sequence.